rnacentral:rRNA from 1 species
GACGAACGCUGGCGGCGUGCUUAACACAUGCAAGUCGAACGGAAAGGCCCUGCUUGCAGGGUACUCGAGUGGCGAACGGGUGAGUAACACGUGGGUGAUCUGCCCUGCACUUCGGGAUAAGCCUGGGAAACUGGGUCUAUACCGGAUAGGAGCCAUUUUUAGUGUGAUGGUUGGAAAGUUUUUUCGGUGUAGGAUGAGCUCGCGGCCUAUCAGCUUGUUGGUGGGGUAAUGGCCUACCAAGGCGGCGACGGGUAGCCGGCCUGAGAGGGUGGACGGCCACAUUGGGACUGAGAUACGGCCCAGACUCCGACGGGAGGCAGCAGUGGGGAAUAUUGCACAAUGGGCGCAAGCCUGAUGCAGCGACGCCGCGUGGGGGAUGACGGCCUUCGGGUUGUAAACUCCUUUCGCUAGGGACGAAGCUUUUUGUGACGGUACCUAGAUAAGAAGCACCGGCUAACUACGUG